AAAAGGAGCCAUAAAAUUGAACUUCCCACUAGCCAUUCUUUCCCUUUUUGCUCUCUGCACACUUCAGCUGGGAAUCUUUAUGCAGGUAGUAGUUAUUUGACUUGUAUUAUUCUGGUUGUAAUAAAGUUAUAUCUAAGAAGCUAAGAGAGCUGACCAACUGAGAAGGGAAAGCAGUUUGUUCUGACCAUAAUGACAAAAGGAGUUCAAGGCACACCAAACAUUUUUCUCCCAUUUAGAAACAUCCUAGUAUUUAAGCAUAUAAAUACUUGGGCUUCCCAGGUGGCUCAGAUGGUAAGGUGUGUGCCAGCAAUGCGGGAGAUCCCUGGGUCGGG
rnacentral:lncRNA from 1 species